rnacentral:rRNA from 1 species
CUGAGAGGUGAUGCGUAGCCGUAGCGGCGAAAUCCAUGAUCCUAUGCUGCCGAGAAAAGCCUCUAGCGAGCUGGUACAUGGCCCGUACCCCAAACCGACACAGGUGGUCAGGUAGAGAAUACUAAGGCGAUCGAGAGAACUGUGGUUAAGGAACUCGGCAAAAUGCCCCCGUAACUUCGGGAGAAGGGGGACCAGUCCUGGUGACGACAUUUACUGUCUGAGCUGGGGUUGGUCGCAGAGACCAGAGAGAAGCGACUGUUUACUAAAAACACAGGUCCGUGCGAAGUCGUAAGACGAUGUAUACGGACUGACGCCUCCCCGGUGCUGGAAGGUUAAGAGGACCGGUCAGCCACUUCGGUGGCGAAGCUGAGAAUUUAAGCCCCAGUAAACGGCGGUGGUAACUACAACCAUCCUAAGGUAGCGAAAUUCCUUGUCGGGUAAGUUCCGACCUGCACGAAUGGCGUAACGACUUCUCUGCUGUCUCAACCACAGACUCGGCGAAAUUGCAGUACGAGUAAAGAUGCUCGUUACGCGCGGCAGGACGAAAAGACCCCGGGACCUUCACUAUAGCUUGGUAUUGGUGUUCGGUUCGGUUUGUGUAGGAUAGGUGGGAGACUGUGAAACUCGCACGCCAGUGUGGGUGGAGUCAUUGUUGAAAUACCACUCUGACCGUAUUGGACAUCUAACCUCGGACCAUGAUCUGGUUCAGGGACAGUGCCUGGUGGGUAGUUUAACUGGGGCGGUUGCCUCCUAAAAAGUAACGGAGGCGCCCAAAGGUUCCCUCAGCCUGGUUGGCAAUCAGGUGUUGAGUGUAAGUGCACAAGGGAGCUUGACUGUGAGACGUACAUGUCGAGCAGGGACGAAAGUCGGGACUAGUGAUCCGGCACCGGCAAGUGGAAGCGGUGUCGCUCAACGGAUAAAAGGUACCCCGGGGAUAACAAGCUGAUCUUCCCCAAGAGUCCAUAUCGACGGGAUGGUUUGGCAUCUCGAUGUCGGCUCGUCGCAUCCUGGGGCUGGAGUAGGUCCCAAGGGUUGGGCUGUUCGCCCAUUAAAGCGGCACGCGAGCUGGGUUUAGAACGUCGUGAGACAGUUCGGUCUCUAUCCGCCGCGCGCGUAAGAAACUUGAGGAAACCUGUCCCUAGUACGAGAGGACCGGGACGGACGAACCUCUGGUGUGCCAGUUGUUCCACCAGGAGCACCGCUGGUUAGCUACGUUCGGAAGGGAUAACCGCUGAAAGCAUCUAAGCGGGAAGCCUGUUCCAAGAUGAGGUUUCUCACCACCUAGCGUGGUUAAGGCCCCCCACAGACCAUGGGGUUGAUAGGCCAGAACUGUAAGCACAGCAAUGUGUUCAGGUGACUGGUACUAAUCGGCCGAGGACUUUCAA